UUUCCGUAGGUGAACCUGCGGAAGGAUCAUUACUGAGUUAGGGUCUCAUCUCGAGCCCGAAUCUCCAACCCUUUGUAUAAAACACUUUGUUGCUUUGGCAGGCCCGUCUGAAAAUCCUUUAACCGGUAUCGACGACCGCCGGGGGCGUUUAGUCACCUCUGGCCAGUGCUUGCCGAUAGCCUAUUCAAAAUUCUUUAUUAAAUCAUGUCUGAAAAAUUAUAACUAAAUAUAAUUAAAACUUUUAACAACGGAUCUCUUGGUUCUGGCAUCGAUGAAGAACGCAGCGAAAUGCGAUAAGUAAUGUGAAUUGCAGAAUUCAGUGAAUCAUCGAAUCUUUGAACGCACAUUGCGCCCUUUGGUAUUCCGAAGGGCAUGCCUGUUCGAGCGUCAUUAUCAACCCUCAAGCUCGGCUUGUUAUUGGGCUCUUAUCGUUAAAGAUAGGCCCGAAAGAUAAUGGCGGCGUCAUAAAUGACCCCAGAUGCAGCGAGCUUAUAGCAUACAUCGAAAGGUUUUUAUGGCCCGGCCUUAACGAGAAGCAAUUCUCAAUUUAUUUAAAGGUUGACCUCGGAUCAGGUAGGAAUACCCGCUGAACUUAAAGCAUAUCAAUAAGCGG
rnacentral:rRNA from 1 species